rnacentral:rRNA from 2 species
CUUGAUAACAUAAGAGGUCCAGCCUGCCCAGUGACUCAAUUCAACGGCCGCGGUAUCCUAACCGUGCAAAGGUAGCGUAAUCACUUGUCUUCUAAAUAAAGACUAGUAUGAAAGGCACCACGAGAACUAAACUGUCUCCUUUUUCUAAUCAGUGAACCUAAUCUCCCUGUGAAAAAGCAAGGAUUUAAUAAUAAGACGAGAAGACCCUAUGGAGCUUUAAACACAUAACACUGCCCUUUUACACCACAAUGUUCCAUGCACAAUGAUUAAAAGUUUUUAGUUGGGGUGACUACGGAGUAAACCCACCCUCCGCGAUGAAUCUUAAACAAGCGACAGCUUUAUACAUCAGCAAACUGACACCAUUGACCCAAUUUAUUGAUCAACGAAC